UACGUAGGGACCGAGCGUUGUCCGGAAUCAUUGGGCGUAAAGAGCGUGUAGGCGGCCACUUAAGUCAGCUGUGAAAUCCCCGGGCUCAACCUGGGCACUGCAGUUGAAACUGGCAAGCUAGAGUAGGGUAGAGGGGUGUGGAAUUCCAGGUGUAGCGGUGAAAUGCGUAGAUAUCUGGAGGAACAUCAGUGGCGAAGGCGACACCCUGGACUCAUACUGACACUGAGGUGCGAAAGCGUGGGGAGCAAACAGG
rnacentral:rRNA from 1 species